rnacentral:misc_RNA from 1 species
CAGAGAAGAGAGAGAGAGAGAGAGAUCACUUCCUUCUAAAAUAGAAGAAGAAACAGAGAUAAACAUCUCAAUAAUACAAAAAAAAAAAAAAAAAACUGGAGCUUUCUAUAAUCAAAUUCCAAAGAAUAGAUUGAUCAAUAGAAAUUAAAUCAAGAUUGAUAACAACACUAGCUACUGCUACUAGCUAGCCAGUCUACUCCUAGCUAUGAAGAGGAGGAAGAAGAAGGUGGUGGUGGUGGUGGUGGUGGUG